GCUGCUGACAUGCUGUUUAAGUAUUUUAAGUCUUUUUCUUUGGAAACCUGAGUGUUUUAAACCCAGUAAAGACUUUUUGUGUGUGUGCCUGCACUGCUCUCUCGUCCUGGGGUUUGAAUGGACUAUGGAAAACAAAGUGGAAGGUCUUGGACUACUGUCUUCAACUUUAUUGGACUUCCUUAUUGGUGCUAAGGACAAUGAUGAAUCACAGCUCACUCUGCUUGGCUUCGAAUUGGUCCACUGCUACUAAGUCCCUGUGUAUCCACCAUUCAAUGAACUUUGACUACUCAAUAGAUUGGGCAGAGUGACUUCCCCCCCACUUUAGCAGCCGGUUCUGCUUGGUGGGCUCCAGGCCCUUGAGGUCCACCCCUGCCCCUUCCCUG